UAGGCAUUGAUCUGAUCCCCUCUCAGUCUUCUCCAGACUAAGAAGAUCCGAGUCCCUCAGACUUUCCUCGUAAGAGAGAUGUCUUGAAAAGGCUGCCCAUCCACACUGUCCUCUCCUUGAAAGAGACUGUCUUUUAGACCUCUAACAUAUUCCCUGGCUGUUCUCCUGGGCUGAAAAGUGCAAGAGUACUUAGUGUUUCUUCAUCCUGAAACUGUACCGUGCCUCUGACCAUCCUCGCUGACCUUCUCCAACCCUCCUCCAUCACACGACUCUCGUGCUUAUGAAGGUGCUUUCUGUUUGUAUCUUUUGGUGGAGAAACCUCAAAGUCUUGCAACAUUAAGAAGAAAAUGCGGCGGGAAGGAAGAAGCAGACAAUAACAAUUCUGCAGUUUGCAAAACUGGCUUAAACCUUCAAGAUUUAGGUACAAGAUCACGUACUCCUCAUGCUUGCUGACUGCAGUGGAAACACUCUCUUUACUGGUCACCCCAAGGUAUGAAAGUUUUCU
rnacentral:lncRNA from 1 species